GUGCUCACUUUGGUAGCACAUACACUAAAAUUGGAAUGAAACAGAGAUUAGCAUGGCCCCUGCAAAAGGAUAACAUGCAAAUUCAUGAAACAUUCCAGAUUUUU
ensembl:snRNA U6 U6 spliceosomal RNA